CUCUGUUGCUGCAACACUAAAACAAACGUCGUUAUGGCGCCAAAGCGAACGUCGCCCCAAGGCAUAUCUCCAAAGACCACCAAUUCAAAAAAGUACAGUGAACAUACUGGGAAUAAGUUACCGAUGACGAACUAAGAAAUUACCGAGGUGUGCGCGCGACAGUAUUUCUUGGCAUACUAUUUACCACAGGUGCUAUCGUAUCAGCGAUCUUAGUGCUGUUUAUCCUGACAACCAAAAAGGUUCUAUAUUUUGUAGCGGCUGGACUUGAUGUAGCUGCAGGUCUCUUCUUGAUGAUUGCGAUGGCUGUGUAUGCGGACAAAGUGGCUCAUGAUGGAUAUGACUUUCAUGCAUCUUUUGCAUUAGACAUCAUUGCCUGGCUAGCAGCAUGGGCUGGUGGAGGAAUAUUUGUGGGAGCUAAACUUGCUGAAAAGGAAUAAUACAGUGAAAAAUAAGAUAUAUCUUGCAAACAUGUCAUGUCUUAUAUUAUAUCAUAUUGUAGUGUUGCUUAUUAACUAAAUACUAUACUAGCAUCACUCUUCUGUAAUUUGUUUCAUUUUAUUAUUUAUUAUUCGUACUAUGUGUUAGUACAUGUAUGUCGAUAUGUAUGGUUGAAAUUGUUAGAAAAUCAAGAUUUAGAAAAAAGUCGUUACUUCAAUCCGUUUACAGUUGCUUCAAAAAAUAUAUGUUGAUAAUUUAUCUUUUGUCAUUUCCUCGGGUGCAGAUGUAAAAUACUCGAAGAAAAUAUUGAACAAUG
rnacentral:misc_RNA from 1 species